rnacentral:rRNA from 1 species
CCUACGGGUGGCAGCAGUAGGGAAUUUUCGGCAAUGGGGGGAACCCUGACCGAGCAACGCCGCGUGAACGAAGAAGUUUUUUGUAAUUUAAAGUUCUUUUAACAGGGAAGAAAGAGAAAUUUGUCGGUACCUGAAGAGUAAGCUCCGGCUAACUACGUGCCAGCACCGCGGGUAAUACGUAGGGAGAGAGCGUUAUCCGGAAUAAUUGGCCGUAAAGGUGGGGUAGAUGGCAUAGUAAGCCUUUUGUAAAAAUGCUGGGCUAAACCCAGUAGGGCAAAAGAUACUGCAAAGCUAGAGUAUGACAGAGGCAAGUGGAACUACAGGUGGAGCAGUAAAAUGCGUAAAUAUAUGUAAGAACACCAGUGGCGAAGGCGGCUUGCUGGGUCGAUACUGACAUUGAGGCACGAAAGCGUGGGGAGCAAACAGGAUUAGAUACCCGGGUAGUC